AUACAUACCUGGUAGGGGAGAAACCAUGAUCACAAACAGUAGUUUUUCCAGUGUGAGGCAUAUUCAUUGCAUUGUGGAUGUGUUGACCCCUGCAAUUCUCCCAAAUGUGAGAAACUCAACUGCAUAAUUUGGAAUUGUGAAGUACGGUGUUUAUGCUCUCCUCUG